GACGAACGCUGGCGGCAUGCCUAAUACAUGCAAGUCGAACGAACUCUUCGGAGUUAGUGGCGCACGGGUGCGUAACGCGUGGGAAUCUGCCCUUGGGUUCGGAAUAACAGUUGGAAACGACUGCUAAUACCGGAUGAUGACGAAAGUCCAAAGAUUUAUCGCCCAGGGAUGAGCCCGCGUAGGAUUAGCUAGUUGGUGAGGUAAAGGCUCACCAAGGCGACGAUCCUUAGCNGGUCUGAGAGGAUGAUCAGCCACACUGGGACUGAGACACGGCCCAGACUCCUACGGGAGGCAGCAGUAGGGAAUAUUGGACAAUGGGCGAAAGCCUGAUCCAGCAAUGCCGCGUGAGUGAUGAAGGCCUUAGGGUUGUAAAGCUCUUUUACCCGAGAUGAUAAUGACAGUAUCGGGAGAAUAAGCCCCGGCUAACUCCGUGCCAGCAGCCGCCGCAGU
rnacentral:rRNA from 1 species